rnacentral:rRNA from 1 species
AAAGAAAGUAAGCAAGGGCGCAUGGCGGAUGCCUUGGCUCUCGGAGGCGAUGAAGGACGUGAUAAGCUGCGAUAAGCUUCGGGCAGGUGCAAAUAACCUUUGAUCCGAAGAUUUCCGAAUGGGACAACCCGUCAUUCUGAAGGAAUGACAUCUUGCAUAGCAAGAGGCUAACGCAGGGAACUGAAACAUCUUAGUACCUGUAGGAAAAGAAAAUAAUAAUGAUUCCCCUAGUAGUGGCGAGCGAACGGGGAUUAGCCCAAACCAAUGUUGUUACGGCAAUAUUGGGGUUGUAGGACCACGAUGUCGCAAGAAAUUUAGUGAGAAGAAUUCUUUGGAAAAUGAAACCAUAGACGGUGAUAGUCCGGUAUUCGAAGCUAAAUGAAGCGUAGUGGUAUCCUGAGU